rnacentral:rRNA from 1 species
UACAGAGGUCUCAAGCGUUGUUCGGAUUCAUUGGGCGUAAAGGGUGCGUAGGCGGCGCGGUAAGUCGGGUGUGAAAUCUCGGGGCUUAACUCCGAAACUGCAUUCGAUACUGCCGUGAUUGAGGACUGGAGAGGAGACUGGAAUUUACGGUGUAGCGGUGAAAUGCGUAGAUAUCAGGAGGAACACCGGUGGCGAAGGCGGGUCUCUGGGCCGAUACUGACGCUGAGGAGCGAAAGCGUGGGGAGCGAACAGG